rnacentral:misc_RNA from 1 species
UUUGGUUUCGACAGGGUUACCGAAGUGUUAGUUGCAAGCCGAGGUCUCAGACGAGGGCACUCGUAAAAAAGUCUGAAAAAAAAUAAGUGCUGACGAAAACUACGCACUCGCUGCCUAAUUAACGGCAACGCCGGGCCUCAUUCCGCUCCCAUCGGGGUGUACGUCCGGACGCAAUAUGGGAUAGGAUUCUCGCAUGCCUGGGGCUAGAGUCCGAGAUUCACUAGGCUGGUCAAAGUCCGCGCCGA